rnacentral:rRNA from 1 species
CACGUAGGGGGCGAGCGUUGUCCGGAUUUAUUGGGCGUAAAGAGCUCGUAGGCGGUUCGGCAAGUCGGGUGUGAAAUUUCGAGGCUCAACCUCGAGACGCCACUCGAUACUGCUGUGACUGGAGUCCGGUAGAGGAGUGCGGAAUUCCUGGUGUAGCGGUGAAAUGCGCAGAUAUCAGGAAGAACACCCGUGGCGAAGGC